rnacentral:rRNA from 1 species
UACGUAGGGAGCAAGCGUUGUCCGGAAUCAUUGGGCGUAAAGCGCGCGUAGGUGGCCCCAUAAGUCCGCUGUGAAAGUCAAAGGCUCAACCUUUGAAAGCCGGUGGAUACUGUGGGACUAGAGUACGGAAGAGGCGAGUGGAAUUCCUGGUGUAGCUGUGAAAUGCGCAGAUAUCAGGAGGAACACCCGUAGCGAAGGCGGCACUCUGGGCCGGAACUGACGCUGAGGAGCGAAAGCGUGGGGAGCGAACAGG